rnacentral:rRNA from 1 species
AGUGAACGCUGGCGGUAGGCCUAACACAUGCAAGUCGAACGGCAGCACAGUAAGAGCUUGCUCUUACGGGUGGCGAGUGGCGGACGGGUGAGGAAUACAUCGUAAUCUACUUUUUCGGGGGGGAUAACGUAGGGAAAGUUACGCUAAUACCGCAUACGACCUACGGGUGAAAGCAUGGGAUCUUCGGACCUUGCGCGAUUGAAUGAGCCGAUGUCGGAUUAGCUAGUUGGCGGGGUAAAGGCCCACCAAGGCGACGAUCCGUAGCUGGUCUGAGAGGAUGAUCGGCCACACUGGAACUGAGACACGGUCCAGGCUCCUACGGGAGGCAGCAGUGGGGAAUAUUGGACAAUGGGCGCAAGCCUGAUCCAGCCAUACCGAGUGGGUGAAGAAGGCCUUCGGGUUGUAAAGCCCUUUUGUUGGGAAAGAAAAGCAGCAGGUUAAUACCCCGCUGUUCUGACGGUACCCAAAGAAUAAGCACCGGCUAACUUCGUG